CAGCCACCCCCUGCCUCUGCAGGAUACCCUCCAACAGUAGCAGGCAAACAGGUGAAAAUUUCAUUGCAGAUUUUUAUCAACCCACCACAGAUCAGAUGUGGGAGCUCCUGGACUAGAUUUCAAACAUGGACAGGAUCUGCAUAGUCCCCAUCAUCAUGGCAAUGUUUUGUAGGCGAUUCAGGAAACUCUCCUGGCACUGAUUCAGAGAGGGCACAUUCAGUGCCUUUUUUGUAAUGGACGUGGCCAGAGGGGUUGAGAUGUAAUCAGUGAAGAUGGUGUUUAUAAGGCACAGGGGAACAGCGCUGUUUUGUAAAGAUGGACCCUGGGCUUGGCUUGAGCAGAUCAGAUGGUCUGACCCUGAUUUACUCGAAAGAAAUUCUUGAAGCAUAAGGCAAGAAAGAUGGUAUUCAGGGUGCUUGAAAAGAAUGGCGACUAAUCCAUGGCCCUAUAAACUGUGGAGUUGUGGGAAAUGUUACAGGAAAAUUCAUCAAGAAGCCAUAUGGGCCUGAAUUUAUCUUUUGAUUUUUGGUCUGCUUCUUAAAUCAGUUACUAAAAGAAGCAUAUUUAGGACUUCUUUGGUGGCACAGUGGUUAAGAAUCCACCUGACAAUGCAGGGGACACAGGUUCGAGCCCUGGUCCGGGAAGAUCCCACAUGUUGCAGAGCAAUGAAGCCUG